GAGUUUGAUCAUGGCUCAGAACGUACGCUGGCGGCACGCCUUAUACAUGCAAGUCGAACGCAGUAGCAAUACUGAGUGGCAAACGGGUGAGUAUAAUGUGGGUAUCUGCCUUUUGGUUUGGAAUAACAUGAGGAAACUUAUGCUAAUACCGGAUAAGCCUUCACAGGGAAAGUUUUAUACGCCGAAAGAUGAGCCCGCACUUGAUUAGUUUGUUGGUGAGGUAAUGGCUCACCAAGACAAUUAUCAAUAGCUGGUCUGAGAGGACGAUCAGC
rnacentral:rRNA from 1 species